UAUCCGUAGGCGAACCUGCGGAAGGAUCAUUAUUGUAUAACCGAGGUGCGAGGGCUGUCGCUGACCCGAAAGGUCGUGCACGCCCGAGUGCCCUCACACACAUCCAUCUCACCCCUAUGUGCACCACCGCGUGGGUCCCCCUUUGGCUUGUUCGGAGGGGGGCUUACGUUUUCACACAAACUUUGUAUGCAGUGUAGAAUGUAUUUUUUGUUUUUGCGAUCACGCAAUCAAUACAACUUUCAACAACGGAUCUCUUGGCUCUC
rnacentral:misc_RNA from 1 species